CCUGGUGGCUCAGAGGGUAAAGCAUCUGCCUGUUAUGUGGAAGACCCAGGUUUGAUCCCUGGGUCAGGA
rfam:TPA: Bos taurus chromosome 17, whole genome shotgun sequence.